UACGUAGGUGGCAAGCGUUAUCCGGAUUUAUUGGGCGUAAAGGGAACGCAGGCGGUCUUUUAAGUCUGAUGUGAAAGCCUUCGGCUUAACCGGAGUAGUGCAUUGGAAACUGGGAGACUUGAGUGCAGAAGAGGAGAGUGGAACUCCAUGUGUAGCGGUGAAAUGCGUAGAUAUAUGGAAGAACACCAGUGGCGAAAGCGGCUCUCUGGUCUGUAACUGACGCUGAGGUUCGAAAGCGUGGCUAGCAAACAGG
rnacentral:rRNA from 1 species